AUACGGAGGAUGCGAGCGUUAUCCGGAUUUAUUGGGUUUAAAGGGAGCGUAGGUGGGAUAUUAAGUCAGCUGUGAAAGUUUGGGGCUCAACCUUAAAAUUGCAGUUGAUACUGGUUUCCUUGAGUACGGUAUAGGUGGGCGGAAUUCGUGGUGUAGCGGUGAAAUGCUUAGAUAUCACGAAGAACUCCGAUCGCGAAGGCAGCUCACCGGGCCGGAACUGACACUGAUGCUCGAAAGUGCGGGUAUCAAACAGGAUUAGAUACCCUGGUAGUCCGCACAGUAAACGAUGAAUACUCGCUGUUUGCGAUACACUGUAAGCGGCCAAGCGAAAGCGUUAAGUAUUCCACCUGGAGAGUACGCCGGCAACGGUGAAACUCAAAGGAAUUGACGGGG
rnacentral:rRNA from 1 species